UACAGAGGUCUCAAGCGUUGUUCGGAUUCAUUGGGCGUAAAGGGUGCGUAGGCGGCGCGGAAAGUCGGGUGUGAAAUUUCGGAGCUUAACUCCGAAACUGCAUUCGAUACUCCCGUGCUUGAGGACUGGAGAGGAGACUGGAAUUUACGGUGUAGCAGUGAAAUGCGUAGAGAUCGUAAGGAAGACCAGUGGCGAAGGCGGGUCUCUGGACAGUUCCUGACGCUGAGGCACGAAGGCCAGGGGAGCAAACAGG
rnacentral:rRNA from 1 species